UACGUAGGUGGCAAGCGUUGUCCGGAUUUACUGGGCGUAAAGAGCGCGCAGGCGGUCGUUCAAGUCGCGUGUGAAAGCCCCCGGCUCAACUGGGGAGGGUCACGCGAUACUGAUCGACUCGAAGGCAGGAGAGGGUAGUGGAAUUCCCGGUGUAGUGGUGAAAUGCGUAGAUAUCGGGAGGAACACCAGUGGCGAAGGCGACAUACUGGCUCAUUACUGACGCUGAGGCUCGAAAGCGUGGGGAGCGAACAGG
rnacentral:rRNA from 1 species